AAACACAUAGGUGCUCGAAAGAGUACUCGAGUACACUGAACUACGAUCAAAAGAGAGUUCGGACAUACAUGUCAUGUAUGAACUCUAAGGUUGCAAUAUGCAAAGUAGUCCUUUGACCUGAGGCAUCAUAGAUGUCUAAUGGUUAGGUCCUUCAUCUUUGAUCAUGUCAACGGCAUUCCUUUGGAGUGUCCACGGCAUUGUUGGGGUCAAGCUAUCUAGUCAUGUAGGCAUAUGAAUGCACAACAAGGGAUCUCUAACCUUCCACGGUGGAGGGAGAAUACUCUAAGAUAUGAUUCUAAAGUCUUUGGCCAAAGCAAAUGAAUAUGACUUAGGAAG
rnacentral:lncRNA from 1 species